rnacentral:lncRNA from 1 species
AAUGCUCUGAUCUUCACUUUCUUGGCCUCUCUCUGUGCUUUCUCUUUCUGUAUAUGUGCUUUCACUGAUCCUGGCGGUGUCCCAUCUUCUUAUGUCCCUGAUGUCGAAGAAUAUCAAAUCUCAGAUCAAGAAACCAAGAAAACUGUGAGUAUUUUUCGUGAUACGGGUAAAUAAGUUUAUAAUAGUGAAGAUUAUUUUAUAAAGUACGGGUGUGAUUUUUAAUUUUUUACUGGGAUUAGGUGAACAUCUGGUUUAUGGGUUUUUGAGUGUGAAUUUUAGAAUUAUUUGCAUGUUUUUGUGGGUAAUUCUGGCAAAUUAUAAUCUGAAUGUUUGUGUUAAAGUGAUUCCAGAAAGCUUGGGCCUUUUUAUUGUAAGCAGUGUAUGAUAUAUAAUCUCAUAAAUUAGGCUUGGUUUAUCUACUACUAUGUACAAUAGGGAUCGACUAAUAUAUUUUGCUACGAAUGUAAAAUUUCAGCGGAAUUAUGAAAGAGGCAGUAAAAAAUAAAAAUCCAAAUAACCACUAAGCUUUGUUCCCACAAAUUUUGGGUCGGUUUCAUUCACAAAUGGCAUGUGUUUAAAAUUCAUAUUAUUAUAACCUACCUGUGCUUGAGACUGACUUUGAAGUACAUGUGUAAAGACAUGGCGUUCCAAAAGAAAUUAGUAAGUAUAUGGCAGAUUUUGGCCCACGACCCAGAGAAGAAACCAGUGAAAAUGUUG